AUGUCUCUUUCAAUCCCCCCCGCACCCCCCCCCGCCCCCCGCAACUCGCAAAUCGUUACGCUGGGCACGGGUCGGCCGUCAGCCUCCACGCUGGCCCCCGAGGCGGACAGGGAAGACCCCGGGAUUCCCUAUUUCAGCGACAGUGCAGAGCCGGUGCCCGCCGCGAACACCGGGGAGACCCCCAGAGGUCCUGCGUGCUCCAGAGUUCGGGGGCCCCCUGAUCCCGCCCAGCCCCCUCCAGGAGCGGAAGGGUUAAGCAUGAUGAGGAAGAAGAGGAAGCGAGGCGCGUCCCCCGGCCCAUGCCGCAGCCACGGCCGCGACCCCGCCACGGCGCCCGCGCCGCCGCCCUCGCCGGAGCCCACGAGACCUGCAUGGACGGGCAUGGGCUGCAGAGCAGCUCCUUCCUGCGCCGCCGCCGCCGCCGCCGCCGCCGCCGCCCCCGCCGGGGCUGAGCAGCGCCGCCGCCCGCAGCCCUGCCCGCCGCCCCGCCCGCCGCCCCCGGCGCUGCUGCCGCUGCUGCUGCUGCUCGGCCUCGGGCUGCUCCACGCAGGUACGCGGCGCGCGCGGGGGGAGCCCGCCCGGGGCCCCGGCUUUGUCCGCAGACGCGCCCGGGCCGCAGGCCCCGCCGGGCGGCGCGGGGAGCGCGGGGG
rnacentral:lncRNA from 12 species